rnacentral:rRNA from 1 species
AGCGGCGGACGGGUGAGUAAUGCCUGGGAAAUUGCCCUGAUGUGGGGGAUAACCAUUGGAAACGAUGGCUAAUACCGCAUAAUAGCUUCGGCUCAAAGAGGGGGACCUUCGGGCCUCUCGCGUCAGGAUAUGCCCAGGUGGGAUUAGCUAGUUGGUGAGGUAAGGGCUCACCAAGGCGACGAUCCCUAGCUGGUCUGAGAGGAUGAUCAGCCACACUGGAACUGAGACACGGUCCAGACUCCUACGGGAGGCAGCAGUGGGGAAUAUUGCACAAUGGGCGCAAGCCUGAUGCAGCCAUGCCGCGUGUGUGAAGAAGGCCUUCGGGUUGUAAAGCACUUUCAGUCGUGAGGAAGGUAGUGUGUUUAAUAGAUGCAUUAUUUGACGUUAGCGACAGAAGAAGCACCGGCUAACUCCGUGCCAGCAGCCGCGGUAAUACGGAGGGUGCGAGCGUUAAUCGGAAUUACUGGGCGUAAAGCGCAUGCAGGUGGUGUGUUAAGUCAGAUGUGAAAGCCCGGGGCUCAACCUCGGAAUAGCAUUUGAAACUGGCAGACUAGAGUACUGUAGAGGGGGGUAGAAUUUCAGGUGUAGCGGUGAAAUGCGUAGAGAUC